GGCCGCGUUCUCCUCCAGGACGUGCAGGAGCCUUCCCCACAUGAGUGGUAACACUCAGGAAGCCGCCAUGGCCUUGGAGAAGAACCUGAAUGAGG